UCUCUCUCUCUCUCUCUCUCAUGAAUCUCUCUGAUUCAUUCAACAGAAACCUGUAACAGAAAUUCACAAAAAGAAUCCAACCUCUAUCAAUUCUUCAACCUUCUCUCUCUCUAAUGAAUCUCGUUAACCACCUUCAUCGCUCAAUCUCCAACCUUCAACACUUCAGCAAUCUUCAUCCACGCUUCGACAUCAUCAUCAUCACCACAACUUCAACAACUCUGUAUAACAACAAUACAAGAACGUGAUCGUCGCAAGCAUCAAUACGCAGAAAACGAAACGAAAGGAAGAAGGAAAAUAGAGUAUGAGAUUCACCGGAUUCUGGAUUUCUAGUCGUCGCACUUGUAUCGGACUUGUCUCUGAAUAAUAGAGUUGAGACGAAGGUUUGAAAACAGAGUAGGAGAGUGUGAGGCGGAGAGCGGCCUUGAGUUCAUCAGAGAAGAAGGAUUCUUCAUCCACGUCGUUUGAGAGACUGAGAUGGAGAGUUUGAUCGAGAGAUGUGCGUUCAGAUGAGAUGGAAGGAGUGAGAGACUUGAUUCGAAGGCGAUGGUGGCCGAAGAUUUGCUCUUCAUCGGAGAAGGUUGAGAUCUCCAUUUGCGCCGUCGGAAUUUGAGAAAGGAGGAUGAGAGACCCGAAGCAAGAUGUGAGAUGAGGAAGGGAUCGACGUCCUGUUUUGCUCACGGAGGCGAUGAGGAUCGGAGAGGAUGAGUUUCCCGGCGCUGUUCCGCCGUUUCUGAGGAAGAGGAAUUUUCUUCCACGUGAAUCCAAUGGGUUUUAGAGAUUUUGGAAAGAGGGAGUUGUCAUAAUGAAGAGACAAGAAUAGAGGAGAAAGAGGCAAGACUAUGGAGAAGAAGAAGAAGCUUGAAGUUUUUUCAUCCAUGGUGUCAAGUAAAGAUGCAAUUAAAGACCCAUUGAGUUGCUUCCAUUGAUUAAGGUAUUCAAGUAUGAAGAUUUAGUUGCCGUUACUCGAGUCGGUUGUCGCUCUGAUACGUAGCACUCUGGGGGGAACGAUUUAUGUCAUUAAUGAUGUUGUUGUUUAAUUGUGUUAUCUUGGUUGAACAAAAUGAUAAGUUAACUGAAGAUAUUUUAUUGAAUACUUGUUUAAGUGAUUCUGCUGUGUUUUAA